rfam:Nomascus leucogenys chromosome X, whole genome shotgun sequence.
GGAUGUGAAGGUGAUCUGGCUGUGACAUCUGUCGCCCUAUUGAUCGCCAGGGUUGAUUCAGCUGAUCUGGCUGGCUAGGCGGGUGUCCCCUUCCUCCCUCACAGCUCCAUGUGCAUCCCUCCAGCAACCCUCCCACCUCGGCCUGCUGAGUAGCUGGGACCAUGGGCACACACCACCCACCCGGCUAAUUUUGUUUGUUUAUUUAUUUAUUUAUUUAUUUAGAGACGGAGUCUUGCUCUGUCAC